rnacentral:rRNA from 1 species
UACGUAGGGUGCAAGCGUUAUCCGGAAUUAUUGGGCGUAAAGAGCUCGUAGGCGGUUUGUCGCGUCUGCUGUGAAAACUGGAGGCUCAACCUCCAGCCUGCAGUGGGUACGGGCAGACUAGAGUGCGGUAGGGGAGAGUGGAAUUCCUGGUGUAGCGGUGGAAUGCGCAGAUAUCAGGAAGAACACCCGUGGCGAAAGCGGCUCUCUGGACCGGUACUGACGCUGAGACGCGAAAGCGUGGGGAGCGAACAGG